GACGAACGCUGGCGGCGCGCUUAACACAUGCAAGUCGAACGGAAAGGCCUGCUUUCCCUUGUGGAUUGCGGGUACUCGAGUGGCGAACGGGUGAGUAACACGUGAGUGAUCUGCCCCCAACUUGGGUAUAAGCCUGGGAAACUGGGUCUAAUUCCCGAUAGGACUGCAGGGUGGUGCCUGUGGUGGAAAACGAUUUUCUAGUGGUUGGGGAUGAGCUCGCGGCCUAUCAGCUUGUUGGUGGGGUAAUGGCCUACCAAGGCGGCGACGGGUAGCCGGCCUGGGAGGGUGGACGGCCACAUUGGGACUGAGAUACGGCCCAGACUCCUACGGGAGGCAGCAGUGGGGAAUAUUGCACAAUGGUCGGAAGCCUGAUGCAGCGACGCCGCGUGGGGGAUGACGGCCUUCGGGUUGUAAACUCCUUUCGACCGCGAGGAAGCCACCUGGUUGGAAGGGUGGUGACGGUAGUGGUAGAAGAAGCACCGGCUAACUACGUG
rnacentral:rRNA from 1 species